AGCGAACGCUGGCGGCAGGCCUAACACAUGCAAGUCGAACGAACUCUUCGGAGUUAGUGGCGGACGGGUGAGUAACACGUGGGAACGUGCCUUUUGGUUCGGAAUAACUCAGGGAAACUUGUGCUAAUACCGAAUGUGCCCUUCGGGGGAAAGAUUUAUCGCCAUUAGAGCGGCCCGCGUCUGAUUAGCUAGUUGGUGAGGUAACGGCUCACCAAGGCGACGAUCAGUAGCUGGUCUGAGAGGAUGACCAGCCACACUGGGACUGAGACACGGCCCAGACUCCUACGGGAGGCAGCAGUGGGGAAUCUUGCGCAAUGGGCGAAAGCCUGACGCAGCCAUGCCGCGUGAAUGAUGAAGGUCUUAGGAUUGUAAAAUUCUUUCACCGGGGACGAUAAUGACGGUACCAGGAGAAGAAGCCCCGGCUAACUUCGUG
rnacentral:rRNA from 1 species